AGAUAAAUCACUUAAGGAUCUUGUAACAAUGCAGAUUCUGAUUCAGUAAGUCUGUGAUUAGCUUUCAGAUUCUGUAGUUUUUAUUAGUUCCCAGGUGAUGUUUAU
rnacentral:pre_miRNA from 1 species